GGGGAGGGGGGCAGUUAGUUUUUUUCCCUUUUGAAUUUCACUGAAAGCUCUUUUUGCUGUCUUGUUUGGGGAGUCCAAGGCUCAUCCUGGGGUGUGAACAUGCCUGGGAGUCAGGUCCCCAUUGUCUGUGCUGCUGCCUUGGCUUGCAAGGGGUGUUAUUUAAAGGGUAGAGGAAGUGGUAGGAAAUCUCUGUGGGUCACUUGAAGCCAGGGUGUCCUCUCUCCCCUCCCCCUCCCCUGCCCUUCCUGGAGACUUCCUUUCACACCACCUAGUCCUCUGCAGGGUGCCACCUGGGGCCUGGAGUGCUGCGCUGGCUUUGGAGCUGAGCACAGGGGAAGUCUUUGGCCACCAAGGGUUGCAUCUGUGUGUGAAUGGCUACGCAAAGACACUGCUCUAGCAGAGCCUAAGCCAGUUACUUCCUCCCCGCUGUAGCUAACGGGCUCAGAGCCCUCUCCUUCAACUCUUUGGGCUCACUGAGGCUGGGCACAGCCCUCUCCUCCACACUCACCUUUUCCUCUGUGGUGCUUAGCCACCCACAGGAGGGCAGCCUGGAUGUCCUCAGUGUAAUUUAUUAUGGUUGCUUGUGUGUGACUCUUAAGUUGUAGUGACAGCCCCAUAAUAAAGGGAUUUUUCCCAUUAAGUAGCACAUCCCUACACACUGUAGACUUUACUAUAGGGAAUGUAGCAUAGGGCGGGUAUAUUGGCUUUAAAUCCAUUAUUUAACUGCUGGAGACAUGAAUACGUGCCCGUGUCCUGGGGCAACCUUUUGCGUUCUUAAAAAAAGGCUUUCACCUUCCUCAUUCCCUGCCACAGCUGCCCCGCAUUGGCAAACCGUACCAUUAUUUUUUACCAAAACCCUCUGUAAGCACCAGCCGCACUGUGUUUAGAAGACCUAAUCAGCAUGCUUAAUUCAUAUACUGGUUCUAGACUCUCACUUCCAGUGGCUUAGACUAGGGGCACAUCUGAUUAAACGAGGGACUUCUUGGUGAUUAGCAGUGCUAGAAAAGGAAUGGCAGAAAAUGGCUGGGAUGGAUUUGAGGGGAAAUUUUACAGGUUUGCUUGGGUCUAUUAGAGAUUCUUUAUAAGUUCCUAGCUUGAGAGGGCAAGUUUGCUCCUGGAGUGUUCAUAAACAUUGAUUUGGUGGCAGUUUGCCCCCGGCAUGCCACUGCCACUGUAUCUACCUGUGCCUCGCAGGUUCGGGAGUUCACAGCUCUGGUUGGCCGUGAAUCGUUGUCCUGGUCAAUGAGUGGUAUGGAUUGGGAUGCUGUUUCCUGCAGCUUCUAAGGGCCAGGAAGGGCGAUUCAUAGCCAAUGAGAGCUGUGCUCCUCUGUAACUGCAGAGGUGCAGGUAAAUAUAGUGGUGGGGCCUGCCAGGGCCUAACCCUGGUGGACCGAAUCUGGCCCACAGGCUGGUAUUUGCCCACCCUAGGUUUGGAGCGUGGCAGGGUUAGCAAAGACAUUUUUUGGUUUGGCUUUCUUCGUGAGUACAAUGCUAAUUUUUCUCCUGCUGCUGUCAGCUGCAGCUAGCCUGCCUAAUCUUUUCCUGUCCAAGCCCUUUGCUUACUAUUAAAUUAUUGGAAAAAGUUUAUUUUGCUCAUGGAAUUGGGUUUUUCAUAAUUUUCUCUUUGCUCGCAUCUCCUGGAACAAGCCUCUUCCUUCUCCAAAGCUUGUGCCCUGCAUUUAAAUUAAGAUGCUACCUGCUUCUGAGGCUAAAAAGAAAAACCUAUGCCAAGCUGCAAUGGUUCCCUCUUUCCCAUUGCUUUGGGCCUGCGCUUGUGUACCGUGUAGGUCAAUUGCAGGUGCACUGAAUCUCCUGGGCUUUUUAAAAUAAUGGCUUUAUCAACUUACGUUUUAAAGAAAAUGUGAGCAAAAAGCCCCAGAUCCAUCCCUGUUUUACUCCCAGAUCAUCAGGAGUAAAAUUACAAAUCAAUCCACUGGGAAAGUGACUUUGGAAGACUUUAACCUGUUGGGACCCCUAAGUGUUUUCUGUUUUGGUGCUGUACUUAAAAGGAUGCAGUUCAGGGACCAGAGCCCACUGUUAUAGAGCGAGGAAGCCUGGUUCUCAUCUUGCCCUUACCGCCUUGUUGCAGGACCUUGGGCAAGUCCUCCCGUGCAGUAAAGCAGGUCUAAUAAUAGCUUCCUCGCAGACUGGCCAUGACCUAGACUGAGAUUUGCAAAGUGUUGUAGGAGAUUUGGACACCACAAUCUCUGUAAUUUUAAUGGAAAUUAGGCUUCCGGCUCAAACUAAAUGAAAAUCUAGGCCUCCACAGCCUUUUGCAGAAGGUGCAAUUAGAGUGCAAAGUAGAGCACCAAAAGGGUACAUUCCUUCCAUUGCAUUCGGUUUUAGUGAUGCCAGCAGCUAAGUCUGGAUGCAGGACAAAAGGAGGUGCUAUUUAUUUAUGGACCAUCUAAGUCUGCACGCUCAUUCUGUUAAGAAUUUGGAAGUUUAAGCUGCUUGAAUUUGUGUGAAUUCUACUGGUCUAACUUUAAUUUGCCCUCAAUAAUCUGGUAGUAGGCUGCUUCCGUUCCUUCAUCAUUACUGUGAUUCCCAUCAGAUCUCAAGGGAUGGCCUGUUUGGGUUUUGUCCCUUUCCCUGAAUGGUUCCACAUGCAUGCCUCACUACCCGAAACACCACCUGGCUUCUCCCGGGGCUGUAAAAGCAACACCUGAGCAUCCCUCACCCCCAUGUUCUCCCAUAUUGUGGUUUUAAUUAAAAGUCGAUGUGUUUUGCACCUGG